rnacentral:rRNA from 1 species
GCCUACACAUGCAAGUCGAACGGUAACAGGAAGCAGCUUGCUGCUUCGCUGACGAGUGCCGUACGGGUGAGUAAUGUCUGGGAAACUGCCUGAUGGAGGGGGAUAACUACUGGAAACGGUAGCUAAUACCGCAUAACGUCGCAAGACCAAAGAGGGGGACCUUCGGGCCUCUUGCCAUCGGAUGUGCCCAGAUGGGAUUAGCUAGUAGGUGGGGUAACGGCUCACCUAGGCGACGAUCCCUAGCUGGUCUGAGAGGAUGACCAGCCACACUGGAACUGAGACACGGUCCAGACUCCUACGGGAGGCAGCAGUGGGGAAUAUUGCACAAUGGGCGCAAGCCUGAUGCAGCCAUGCCGCGUGUAUGAAGAAGGCCUUCGGGUUGUAAAGUACUUUCAGCGGGGAGGAAGGGAGUAAAGUUAAUACCUUUGCUCAUUGACGUUACCCGCAGAAGAAGCACCGGCUAACUCCGUGCCAGCAGCCGCGGUAAUACGGAGGGUGCAAGCGUUAAUCGGAAUUACUGGGCGUAAAGCGCACGCAGGCGGUUUGUUAAGUCAGAUGUGAAAUCCCCGGGCUCAACCUGGGAACUGCAUCUGAUACUGGCAAGCUUGAGUCUCGUACA